rnacentral:rRNA from 1 species
AUUGAACGCUGGCGGCAGGCCUAACACAUGCAAGUCGAACGAGUGGCGGACGGGUGAGUAAUGUCUGGGAAACUGCCUGAUGGAGGGGGAUAACUACUGGAAACGGUAGCUAAUACCGCAAACCAUCAGAUGUGCCCAGAUGGGAUUAGCUUGUUGGUGGGGUAACGUCUCACAAAGGAGACGAGCCCUAGCUGGUCUGAGAGGAUGACCAACCACUCUGGAACGGAGAGCCGGUCCAGACUCCUACGGGAGGCAGCAGUGUGGAAUAUUGCGCAAUGGGCGCAAGCCUGAUGCAGCCAGGCCGAGUGUAUGAAGAAGGCCUUCGGUUUGUAAAGUACUUUCAGCUGGGAGGCGUUACCCGCAGAAGAAGCACCGGCUAACUCCGUGCCAGCAGUCGCGGUAAUUC